AGAAUCAACGCUGGCGGCGUGCCUAACACAUGCAAGUCGCACGAGAAAGGGUAGCAAUACCUGAGUACAGUGGCGCACGGGUGAGUAACACGUGAAUAAUCUACCUCCGAGUGGGGAAUAACUGAGAGAAAUCUUAGCUAAUACCGCAUAAUACCCACGGGUCAAAGCAGCAAUGCGCUUGGAGAGGAGUUCGCGGCAGAUUAGUUAGUUGGCGGGGUAAUGGCCCACCAAGACGAUGAUCUGUAUCCGGCCUGAGAGGGCGCACGGACACACUGGAACUGAAACACGGUCCAGACUCCUACGGGAGGCAGCAGUGGGGAAUUUUGCGCAAUGGGGGAAACCCUGACGCAGCAACACCGCGUGGAGGAUGAAGCCCCGUUGGGGUGUAAACUCCUUUCGAUCGGGAAGAUAAUGACGGUACCGAUAUAAGAAGCCCGGCUAACUUCGCGCCAGCAGCCGC
rnacentral:rRNA from 1 species